GGGAUGACGUCACUUCCGGUUACCAGGUAUAUAUAGAGGUGCACACCUUAGCACAACGUGCAUGCUGCCAGAUUCCCCGACCACGUCUGGGUCCACACUCCACCGGCACCGCCGAAGCAAACAUGUCCAACCUGAAGAUGCCGACAGGAGGUUUGCGUUAGUUCCAGCGCCCAGAGACGGUCGGUCUGGAACGCCGAAGGGACCUCGAGGGUUUAGCGGUAUCGCCGGGUCUGACGCUCUCCCCCUCCAACAACAGGGAUGCGCGGGACACACCACCACCCAGAGCCGGCAUAAGCCACCCUCAACCUCGUCAGAUGUGCGGCCUGAUAGGACCCGUUGGUGGCCUGCACAAGCCUUAGCAGCAGAGAGGGCUCAAGACGCGCCAGGAACCUGUUAGCCGAACAGUUAGGCUGUAAUGUUUUAUGUUGUGAACCAUGUUCUUUGUGCCGAACAUAGUGCUACAAGGGACAGCGGUCAGAGGAUCAGGGUCGACUGGCGCUCCAGUCCCCGACACCGCCCAGCCCCUGCCGGUCAGUUCAGCUAACCCCGCCGACAACUCAAGGAACUGUAAGUCAUUUUCCCCCUACUUUUCGUGAAUAGAUUUUGACAUAUCGUUCUCCAGUGCGAUGGGGUGCCGCGGGAUGCUGGAGGGUUAGGAACUAAUCGAGCAACCCUGUUUUGAGAUUGGUCUGACCAAGAACGUCUUUGGUCUGACGCCGUUUAUAGCACGGCAAGAUAUCAUUCAGUGCGAUGGGGUUCCGCGGUAAGCUGAAUGACCCAAAAAAAA